rnacentral:rRNA from 1 species
CCUACGGGAGGCAGCAGUGAGGAAUAUUGGUCAAUGGGCGCUAGCCUGAACCAGCCAAGUCGCGUGAAGGAUGACUGCCCUAUGGGUUGUAAACUUCUUUUAUAUGGGAAUAAAGUGCAGUAUGUAUACUGCUUUGCAUGUACCUUAUGAAUAAGGAUCGGCUAACUCCGUGCCAGCAGCCGCGGUAAUACGGAGGAUCCGAGCGUUAUCCGGAUUCAUUGGGUUUAAAGGGAGCGUAGGCGGGCUGUUAAGCCAGGUGUGAAAGUUUGCGGCUCAACCGUACAAUUGCAGUUGAUACUGGCAGCCUUGAGUACAGUAGAGGUAGGCGGAAUUCGUGGUGUAGCGGUGAAAUGCAUAGAUAUCACGAAGAACUCCGAUUGCGAAGGCAGCCUGCUGGACUGUAACUGACGCUGAGGCUCGAAAGUGUGGGUAUCAAACAGGAUUAGAUACCCCUGUAGUC